UCCCGGAGCCCACGAGUGGGGACCAGUUCUAUUGGGUCUAAAGCGUCCGUAGUCGGUCGUGAGAGUUUCUUGUGAAAUAGUUCUUCUUAACAGAACUGAGUGCAAGGAAUACUUCACGACUUGAGACCGGGAGGGGACAGGAGUAUGCCAAGGGGAGCGGUAAAAAUGCGAUAAUCCUUGGUAGACUACCAAUAGCGAAGGCAUCUGUCCAGAACGGGUCUGACGAUCAGGGACG
rnacentral:rRNA from 1 species